rnacentral:rRNA from 1 species
UUUGUCCUACGGAAGGCAGCAGUUAGGAAUAUUCGUCAAUGGGGGAAACCCUGAACGAGCAAUGCCGCGUGAAGGAUGACGGUCCUAUGGAUUGUAAACUUCUGUUGUUAGGGAAGAACGACCUAAGUAGGAAAUGACUUAGGAGUGACGGUACCUUUCAAGAAAGCUCCGGCUAACUACGUGCCAGCAGCCGCGGUAAUACGUAGGUGGCAAGCGUUAUCCGGAUUUAUUGGGUGUAAAGGGCGUGUAGGCGGGAAUGCAAGUCAGAUGUGAAAACUCAGGGCUCAACCCUGAGCCUGCAUUUG